rnacentral:rRNA from 1 species
AUGGGCCGAGAGUUGACAAGUGGUCUUGGGUGGGCAAGGGAGAUCCCAGGAGGACGCGUCGUGCUACUCGACAUCUUCAUGGUUGGCGCGGCCGGGGCGACGGUGCUGGAGGUUGGUGGUGCGGAGGAGGCGGUGACUGACCUGACGAAGGGUGCACAUGUUCGCGGAUUUCCCAGCGAUUUGGUGUGUGCCGAUCUUCCAAGCCAUUCUGACCGUGGAGGCGACCGGGUGUUCGAGCAGCUGUUCUUGCUCUGGCCACCAGUUGAUGAAGAGCGACAGAUAUCCCAUCCAAUGAGUGGUGAGAGAUAUCAUGCAGGAUGGAGUACCGGUUCAUGGAUUUCCUGGACAAAAUUGUUCUACUGGGUCAAGCUGUUGGUGCCAGGGCAUCAAUGCCAAGGUGGCAUAGGACAGAGAAUAAUUGUUUACCAAGGCAAGCUAAUGGAGAAUAACUGGAUCAGCAGCACAGUACAGAUGGUGGACUACUGCUAUGGUCUAUUAGAGGUGUGCGAGUAA